rnacentral:lncRNA from 1 species
UAAUUGGCCUUCUGGAGAUGAAAGUUAUUAACUGCCCCAAGCUGCAAGCACUCCCACAAGCAUUUUCUCCACAGAAAUUGGAGAUAAGCGGGUGUGAACUGUUGACUGCCCUCCCACCUUCAAGGUUUGCACAACGUCUUCAGCAUUUAGCAUUAGACAGAAGCAAUAAUGGAGUACUACUAAGGGCAAUACCUGAUACCAACUCUUUAUACUCCCUGGUAAUUUCUAAUGUGGCAAAUGUCGUCUCUUUACCAAAACUGCCUAAUCUUCCUGGGCUCAAGGCUUUGUACAUCCACAAUUGUGAAGACCUUGAGUCUUUAUCUGAAGAGGAAGGAUCAUUUCAAAGCUUAUCAUCUCUCAGGUUAUUGUCAAUUCAAGGCUGUCAGAAGCUUGGGACAUUACCAAAUGAAGGCUUACCUACCCUCCUAGAGUGUUUGAGUGUUGGCUCUUGCCACAGUUUGCAAUCUCUGGGCAACAAGGGGACACUAAAAAGCCUCAUCUCACUCCAAGACCUUUACAUUGAAGAUUGUCCCCUGC